rnacentral:rRNA from 1 species
UACGUAGGGUGCAAGCGUUGUCCGGAAUUAUUGGGCGUAAAGAGCUCGUAGGCGGUCUGUCACGUCGGCUGUGAAAACCCGGGGCUCAACCCCGGGCCUGCAGUCGAUACGGGCAGACUAGAGUGUGGUAGGGGAGACUGGAAUUCCUGGUGUAGCGGUGAAAUGCGCAGAUAUCAGGAGGAACACCGGUGGCGAAGGCGGGUCUCUGGGCCAUAACUGACGCUGAGGAGCGAAAGUGUGGGGAGCGAACAGG